GUUGUUCGGAAUUACUGGGCGUAAAGGGCUCGUAGGCGGCCAACUAAGUCGGAUGUGAAAUCCCCAAGCUUAACUUGGGAACUGCAUCCGAUACUGGAUGGCUUGAAUCCGGGAGAGGGAUGCAGAAUUCCAGGUGUAGCGGUGAAAUGCGUAGAUAUCUGGAGGAAUACCGGUGGCGAAGGCGGCAUCCUGGACCGGCAUUGACGCUGAGGAGCGAAAGCUAGGGGAGCAAACGGG
rnacentral:rRNA from 1 species